GACGUAGGGGGCAAGCGUUAUUCGGAAUUAUUGGGCGUAAAGCGCUCGUAGGCGGAUCAGGAAGUCGGUGAAGAAAGACCUGGGCUCAACUCAGGGAACGGCACCGAUACUCUUGGUCUUGAGGCAAUCAGAGGGUGAUGGAAUUCCCGGUGUAGCGGUGAAAUGCGCAGAUAUCAGGAGGAACACCGGUGGCGAAGGCGGGUCUCUGGGCCGAUACUGACGCUGAGGAGCGAAAGCGUGGGGAGCGAACAGG
rnacentral:rRNA from 1 species